rnacentral:tRNA from 1 species
GGGGCAAUAGCUCAGUUGGUAGAGCGCAACGCUGGCAGUGUUGAGGUCUGGGGUUCGACCCCCCAUUGCUCCACCA